UACAGAGUGGGCUAGCGUUGUUCGGAAUUACUGGGCGUAAAGCGCGCGUAGGCGGCUUUGUAAGUUAGCGGUGAAAGCCCAGGGCUUAACCCUGGAAUUGCCUUUAAGACUGCAUCGCUAGAAUCGUGGAGAGGUGAGUGGAAUUCCGAGUGUAGAGGUGAAAUUCGUAGAUAUUCGGAAGAACACCAGUGGCGAAGGCGACUCACUGGACACGUAUUGACGCUGAGGUGCGAAAGCGUGGGGAGCAAACAGG
rnacentral:rRNA from 1 species